rnacentral:rRNA from 1 species
GUGAACGCUGGCGGUAGGCCUAACACAUGCAAGUCGAACGGCAGCACAGUAAGAGCUUGCUCUUACGGGUGGCGAGUGGCGGACGGGUGAGGAAUACAUCGGAAUCUACUUUUUCGUGGGGGAUAACGUAGGGAAACUUACGCUAAUACCGCAUACGACCUACGGGUGAAAGCAGGGGAUCUUCGGACCUUGCGCGAUUGAAUGAGCCGAUGUCGGAUUAGCUAGUUGGCGGGGUAAAGGCCCACCAAGGCGACGAUCCGUAGCUGGUCUGAGAGGAUGAUCAGCCACACUGGAACUGAGACACGGUCCAGAUCCCUACGGGAGGCAGCAGUGGGGAAUAUUGGACAAUGGGCGCAAGCCUGAUCCAGCCAUACCGCGUGGGUGAAGAAGGCCUUCGGGUUGUAAAGCCCUUUUGUUGGAAAGAAAAGCAGCAGGUUAAUACCCCGCUGUUCUGACGGUACCCAAAGAAUAAGCACCGGCUAACUUCGUG